UACGGAAGGCAGCAGUGGGGAAUAUUGCACAAUGGGCGCAAGCCUGAUGCAGCCAUGCCGCGUGUAUGAAGAAGGCCUUCGGGUUGUAAAGUACUUUUCAGUCGUGAGGAAGGUGUUAAGGUUAAUAACCUUAGCAAUUGACGUUAGCGACAGAAGAAGCACCGGCUAACUCCGUGCCAGCAGCCGCGGUAAUACGGAGGGUGCGAGCGUUAAUCGGAAUUACUGGGCGUAAAGGGCACGCAGGCGGUUAAUUAAGUUGGAUGUGAAAUCCCCGGGCUUAACCUGGGAAUGGCAUUCAAGACUGGUUAGCUAGAGUCUUGUAGAGGGGGUAGAAUUCCAUGUGUAGCGGUGAAAUGCGUAGAGAUGUGGAGGAAUACCGGUGGCGAAGGCGGCCCCUGGACAAAGGCUGACGCUCAUGUGCGAAAGCGUGGGGAGCAAACAGGGAUUAGAUAC
rnacentral:rRNA from 1 species